GAUGAACGCUGGCGGCGUGCCUAACACAUGCAAGUCGAACGGACGGACGCUAAGUUUGCUUCUCUGAUGUUAGCGGCGGACGGGUGAGUAACGUGUGUAUCACCUACCUAUAUUACGGGGAUAAUUACGGAAAACCGGCUCUAAUACGGGAUGAUAUUUUGAACCGCGUGGUUCAUAAGUGAAUUACGGUCUUUGUGUCUGUACUAGCUGAUUCCGGGCUGGAUUAGCUAGUUGGUAAGGUAACGGCUUACCAAGGCGACGAUGCCUAGCCGACCUGAGAGGGUGAUCGGCCACACUGGAACUGAGACACGGUCCAGACUCCUAAGGGAGGCAGCAGUAGGGAAUCUGAGGCAAUGGGGGAAAGCCUGACGGAGCAAGCGCGCGUGAGAGAUGAAGGCCUUCGGAUCGUAAAAACCUGUUAUGGGUGAAGAACAGCUGUGGAAUGAAACGUGGCGAUAGUGACGGUAACUAAUCAAAAAGCACCGGCUAACUACGUG
rnacentral:rRNA from 1 species